CGGGGAGCACCACAACAGGUGGAGCCUGCGGUUUAAUCGGACUCAACGCCGGGAAACUCACCAGAUAAGACAGCUGAAUGAUAGUCGGGCUGAAGACUCUACUUGACUAGCUGAGAGGAGGUGCAUGGCCGUCGUCAGUUCGUACUGUGAAGCAUCCUGUUAAGUCAGGCAACGAGCGAGACCCACGCCAACAGUUGCCAGCUCGUCCUCCGGGAUGGUGGGGACACUGUUGGGACCGCCUCUGCUAAAGAGGAGGAAGGAAUGGGCAACGGUAGGUCAGCAUGCCCCGAAUUAUCUGGGCUACACGCGGGCUACAAUGGGUGGGACAAUGGGUAUCGACACCGAAAGGUGAAGGCAAUCUCCUAAACCCAUCCGUAGUUCGGAUUGUGGGCUGCAACUCGCCCACAUGAAGCUGGAAUCUGUAGUAAUCGUGUCUCAAAAUGGCACGGUGAAUAUGUCCCUGCUCCUU
rnacentral:rRNA from 1 species